rnacentral:rRNA from 1 species
AUACUUGUGAAAAUACCUUUUGAUAUAUACAUAUGUAUGUAUCAUUAAGGUAUGUAUUUGUUAGAUAUAAGAAUAAAAUAAAUAUAAUUGAAUUAUAACAAAGAAGAAACACAUAAAAUAUGUGUAUUAUCAAUCGAGUAUCUGACCUAUCAGCUUUUGAUGUUAGGGUAUUGACCUAACAUGGCUAUGACGGGUAACGGGGAAUUAGAGUUCGAUUCCGGAGAGGGAGCCUGAGAAAUAGCUACCACAUCUAAGGAAGGCAGCAGGCGCGUAAAUUACCCAAUUCUAAAAAAGAGAGGUAGUGACAAGAAAUAACAAUACAAUAUCGAAAAAUGAUUUUGUAAUUGGAAUGAUAGGAAUUUACAAGGUUCCUAGAGAAACAAUUGGAGGGCAAGUCUGGUGCCAGCAGCCGCGGUAAUUCCAGCUCCAAUAGCAUAUAUUAAAAUUGUUGCAGUUAAAACGUUCGUAGUUGAAUAUUAAAGAAUCCGAUGUUUCAUUUAAACUGGUUUGGGAAAACCAAAUAUAUUAUAUAUUUUGCUUUGUUCAAAAUAAGGUUUUCUAAUAAAUUAUGUUUUUAUCAGAUAUGACAGAAUCUUUUUUAAAAUCUCUUCAAUAUGCUUUUAUUGCUUUUGAGAGGUUUUGUUACUUUGAGUAAAAUUAAGUGUUCAUAACAGACGGGUAGUCAUGAUUGAGUUCAUUGUGUUUGAAUACUACAGCAUGGAAUAACAAAUAUGAAUAAGCUAAUUAUUUUUUUUUUUCAUAAUUUUUUUUGAUAUUCUUAUUAGCUUAGUUACGAUUAAUAGGAGUAGCUUUGGGGGCAUUCGUAUUCAGAUGUCAGAGGUGAAAUUCUAAGAUUUUCUGGAGACGGACUACUGCGAAAGCAUUUGCCUAAUCUAUUUCCAUUAAUCAAGAACGAAAGUUAAGGGAGUGAAGACGAUCAGAUACCGUCGUAAUCUUAACCAUAAACUAUACCGACUAGGUGUUGGAUGAAUAUAAAAAAUAUAUAAAUAUGUAGCAUUUCUUAGGGAAUGUUGAUUUUAUAUUAGAAUUGCUUCCUUCAGUACCUUAUGAGAAAUCAAAGUCUUUGGGUUCUGGGGCGAGUAUUCGCGCAAGCGAGAAAGUUAAAAGAAUUGACGGAAGGGCACCACCAGGCGUGGAGCUUGCGGCUUAAUUUGACUCAACACGGGAAAACUCACUAGUUUAAGACAAGAGUAGGAUUGACAGAUUAAUAGCUCUUUCUUGAUUUCUUGGAUGGUGAUGCAUGGCCGUUUUUAGUUCGUGAAUAUGAUUUGUCUGGUUAAUUCCGAUAACGAACGAGAUCUUAACCUGCUAAUUAGCGGUAAGUACACUAUAUUUUUAUUUGAAAUUGAAUAUAGGUAAUUAUACAUGUUUAUUCAGUGUUCAAAUUAGGAUAUUUUUUUAUUAAAAUAUUCUUUUCCCUGUUCUACUAUAAUAAUUUGUUUUUUUUUACUCUAUUUCUCUCUUCUUUUAAGAAUGUACUUGUUUGAUUAAAUAAAGCUUCUUAGAGGAACAGUGUGUAUCUAACACAAGGAAGUUUAAGGCAACAACAGGUCUGUGAUGUCCUUAGAUAAACUAGGCUGCACGCGUGCUACAAUGAUAUAUAUAACAAGUUGUUAAAAAUGUACUUAUAAAUAAGUGUGUACAGUUUUUCCUGUACUGAAAAGUAUAGGUAAUCUUUAUCAGUAUAUAUCGUAAUUGGGAUAGAUUAUUGCAAUUAUUAAUCUUGAACGAGGAAUGCCUAGUAAGCAUGAUUCAUUAGAUUGUGCUGACUACGUCCCUGCCCUUUGUACACACCGCCCGUCGCUCCUACCGAUUGAAAGAUAUGAUGAAUUGUUUGGAUAUGAAUUAAAAUAAUGAAAUUUUAUAUUUCUGAUUUUUUCUAGAAGAACUGUAAAUCCUAUCUUUUAAAGGAAGGAGAAGUCGUAACAAGGUUUCCGUAGGUGAACCUGCGGAAG